AGGUAUAGAAAGCUCUUGGAGGAAGCUGUGCAAUAGAAGCAAAUCUAAUUUUUCAAGCAAACACAUCGGUCUCCUGUGUGGUAUAGCUGUGGGUCUUAUACACAGUUUUCUCUUCCUCUUUAACCUGGAGAGCCCUCCAAAAGAGAAUAGGGAAGGCUGUUUUCAUCUAGCCUGGAAAAUACACAGGUCCCAAGGCGAUUGACUUUGUAAGCUCACUGGCAAUGAAGAGUGUAGAAAAUGUUGAUGUACCUGUUCCUGUGAAUUUGAAGGACCUGUAAGCUGUGCACAGACUUCCUCUGUGGAGUUCAGUCUGCUCUCCACAAUAUGUUCUGGUGGAGCAGGGAGAGAAGCAAGGAAGGGACCCCAAGGAUUGGCAGCAAUACAAUUGUCAGCCUGGCUUAGAGUGGGUCCUGUGACUAUGGCUUCUGCCAGAUGCUUUUAAAGAAGAUAGAAGCUGUGCACAACAAGCAAAUGGUAAAGAAGGCAGAGCCGGAGCAGUUCCUCCUGCAGUGCUUUUGUCACAUGGCCCCAUCUCUGACCUCACUGCUGUUGUGUCACCUGAGACUCCUCUUUGUAAACCUGUACCAGAGCCUCUGUGCUGCAGAGCAAAAUGGUCUAUGAAUUGACUUUGAGGUACAGCAAAAUAUGGUGUAGGUGCAUCUUCAUGACCAGGAGGUGGAUAACAACAACCAUCUCAGAAAAACACAAGUCCAAGGAUUUCCAACACGCUUAUUUGGUUACAAAUGAGCCCCUGGCCAAGCUGCUCUUCUUUCUUAAGAACAGGCAAGCUAGGACAUCUUACUAUGACAUGAGAAAAAUGUCAGAUAGAAGAAGUCCUGGGGAGAAUGUUAAAAUGAAUGGCUUACCUGACAGAGAGGAAGGAAAUUUGAGCCUGCACAGUUCAGGUGCCUGAAAUCAUACACCACUCUCAUAAUAUGAGGUUCCCAUGUGAAGCAAUACAGAAUAUUCCUG
ensembl:lncRNA